UACGAAGGGGGCUAGCGUUGCUCGGAAUCACUGGGCGUAAAGCGCACGUAGGCGGAUUGCUAAGUCAGGGGUGAAAUCCUGGAGCUCAACUCCAGAACUGCCUUUGAUACUGGCGACCUUGAGUCCGGGAGAGGUGAGUGGAACUGCGAGUGUAGAGGUGAAAUUCGUAGAUAUUCGCAAGAACACCAGUGGCGAAGGCGGCUCACUGGCCCGGUACUGACGCUGAGGUGGCGAAAGCGUGGGGAGCCAAACAGG
rnacentral:rRNA from 1 species